rnacentral:lncRNA from 1 species
GUUCUAAGAUUUUUAUAUCCUAAGGGGAUUAUGAAGGGUCCCCUCAAUAGGGGGUGCCUAUAUUAAAUGGAAUGGCCCAAUUAGCAACUUCAGCAGCAAAUAUUUAUUUUUUAGGAUAGAUCCUCAUUGUCCAACAUGCAGAAUUAAAAUAUCAGAUGUGAUGGUAUGCUACCUGGAAAGUUACCUGUUUAUUACAUAGCAGAGAGUGAGAUACUGAAAAAUACACAGCUAGUGACAUAUUUUCCAUAUCUUCAUAUCGAUCACAUGACUUUUAGUAUUUAUACAAUUUUUUGCUGGGGACUAUAUAUAAUAAACAGAACAUUACACGUUGGCUUGAAGGUUUACUCACUCGAUCAAUCUGCUCGUUCGUAAAAUUAUACUGUUUUCACCACUCGAAGAUAAAAGUCAUAUCUUUGCACCACCAUGUAAUAACCUCUAUAUAUAUUUCACUGCUGUGGAUUAAUUCAUCCAACACAGUCACAGAAUAUCCCAAUGUAUUGCAGCUAAUUUAAUGUGACACAAUAUAUGCCUGUGUGUACAUGUAUACAGCAUUCACAAUGAUGCAAAUACAAUGUUAUGCAUCCAAAAUUUUUUCUGAACGUCUCCCAACCUUGCAGGUGUACUGAUCUCUAAUUAACCUGCAUCUGGUCCUUAUCCCAACUACCCAAUAGACUGCAUGGCCACAGUUGUUUACAGGAAGCUGAACUCUUACAUUUAUAUAUAUAAACACUUGAAAUUUCACUAAAACCCGAGAUAGCGAGUGCCAACUUGACUACCAAGGAAUUUCUUGAAAUUGACUGUUAAAUUCAUUUGGAAUUUCAGCAUGAGGAAUUUACUUUUGUCAGUAAAUUGGUGUCUAUAUAUAAAUAUUGGGAUCUGGUGUGGGACGAAUAACUAUAUAAUGCACUGCAUGAUUAUGAGUAUUAAUAUUAAUUUACAGAGUUCAGUUCCGGCAAUUAAUACAAUUAGUUAACUUUAUAUUUUCACAAAAUCAACUGCAUGAUUCCACUUCUACUCUAAUUUAACCUUUAAACCUAAUAUAUCUAUUUGAGAGUUAAAACAGUGGUAUGAAAAAAGUUUUCAACAACUUUAAAACUUGUUAGUGACACCAGGGGACAUACCUCAUGCACUCACAGUUCAAACCAUUAGGAAUAAAGGAAGUUAUUAGAUCAUUAUUAAUUAACCCAUUGAUCGAGCACCACCACUCCCGGCCUUCAUGAUCGAGUAAAAUUGUCUGCACAAAUAUUAGUUAAUGGGUUGUAACUAUAAUUGCACAUACAACCAUAGUCUGAUCAACUGAUUGAUUGCCAGCACUCUCAGUCUAGUAAAAUUGUCUGGUGACUUUUAUAUAGACAGAGUAAAAUAUGCCUUUGCAUCGUUUAUUCAAUAAUUAAGGCAAUUUUUAAACCAAAAUUAUUUGUAAUUUUAAUAAUUUGUAUUUUUGAUUGUCUGGGGCUUGAUUUUUGACAUUUUUAGACAUUUUUAUAUAUUUCAUCCGCUAGACAAAGAUUUGGUCAUGGGAAUAAUUACUAGAAUAGGACAAGUCUUAGGGGCCAUUCACAAAGGAUGUCCGGCCAAAUGAUGGAUUUUCAGACCCCCCUCCCCCCCCCUUCCGGCAUUGUCCGAAUUAGUGACCCCCCGGACAUCCGCCAUGCCUCGCAAAAUGCUUGUAUAUGUCAAGAGUAAAAAAAUUUUUUUUACUUUUAGAACUUUUUUAUAACUAUAAAUGUGAAUAUAAAUUACUAAUUAUGGUAUUAAAAGAGGCCCUGUUUCACAGGUAAGGCUGCUGAAUGCAACUAUGGCCGUAAUUAUUUCUUCUAAUUAUUAGAUUUUUGAGGACCAUGCUGCUAGGAGAUUGAUUAAACAACUUGUUGUCAAUUGCUGUAAUGAAGGAUGUAGCUGGCAGGGAUGUCUCAGUUCUCUGCUGCAGGUAC